rnacentral:rRNA from 1 species
CAGUAGCCGCGGUAAUACGGAGGGCGCGAGCGUUACCCGGAUUUACUGGGCGUAAAGGGCGUGUAGGCGGCCUUGGGUGUCCCAUGUGAAAGGCCACGGCUCAACCGUGGAGGAGCGUGGGAUACGCUCAGGCUAGAGGGUGGGAGAGGGUGGUGGAAUUCCCGGAGUAGCGGUGAAAUGCGCAGAUACCGGGAGGAACGCCGAUGGCGAAGGCAGCCACCUGGUCCACUUCUGACGCUGAGGCGCGAAAGCGUGGGGAGCAAACCGGAUUAGAUACCCCGGUAGUCCCUGUCUCUUAUAC